UCCUUAGGGUGACUUUUUUGGGUUCAUGUUUGUCUUGUUAAAAUGGUUUUAAGGUGACUUUUGGAACCCCUAAGUACCCUAGGAUAUUAGCCCUCUUUUGAGAGGUGAAAAAUUGAGUUUUGGUGAAUGAAAACAUUCAUGGAGCUAUUAUGAGUUUUCAUGGUGUUCUUCAAAUGUUCUUGAAGUUCUUGCCAAGAACAAAAAAGGUUUUGAAGUUUUGAUUCAAAAGUUUUAUGUUUUUCAUAAAGUUUUGGUUUAAUUUUGAUGGGUGAUAGUUAUUGGUGAAGCAUUAAAAUUGGCUUUAAUGUUUGUCUAAACUAAUUAAUGUUUUACAAAACAUUUUCUUACAAACCAUCAACUUCACCUUUACCUCACCCACCAAAAUCAACUUGCAUAUUGCACAUGCAUGCACAACUUGCAUAAAACCCUUUCACACUUUUACACUCUCUUAAAAACCGGCCACCCCCUAGUGGGGGUACUUUUGGGGUCUUUUAUGCAAU
rnacentral:lncRNA from 1 species